AAGACUAUAGACCUGCGGAGUACCUGCGGAAGGAUCAUUACCGAGCUCGUGCCCUUCGGGGCAGAUCUCCCACCCGAUGUCAUGACUACGAUGUUGCUUUGGCGGGCCGCCGGGCCCUGCCCGCCAGAGGUCUCCUAGACUCUGAAUAUUAGUGUCGUCCGAGUAUCACAGAAUAGUCAAAACUUUCAACAACGGAUCUCU
rnacentral:misc_RNA from 1 species